GCGCUCUGAUGUUUCAAAUCAAACCCUAAGUUAAAGAAGACCAAAGUAUUAUCAGCGAAACAUAAAAACACUUUAUGCGAGUGUGCUAGUAAUAUGUUUUUUUUCCUUAACCCUAUAAGUGUUUUGUUAUUAACUUUGCUUACAUUUUAUCUUUGUCAAACUCAAUUCUUAUUUUGUAAUAUAUUUUUUCCUAUAUAGUUAGUAUAUUUAUAAAUAAAAAAUUUAAAACUAACCUUUUUUUUAAAUGAAGACAUAUUAACUUUUUUUUGGGUUUGGUUGGUGACUUUAAGUGGUAAAUUUUUUUGCUUAAAGUAAACUGUAAAUAGUUAAAAAUAAUGCAAAAAUAUAAGAGAGUGAUAAACGAAAAUGAUCCAAGAUAGAAAAGCAUAACAGUUUAGUACUAGUUUCAUCUCUAUUUUCAACGUUUUGAGUAAAUUAUUUUUUAUUUUUACCAAAA
rnacentral:lncRNA from 1 species